rnacentral:rRNA from 1 species
UAGGGAAUCUUCCACAAUGGGCGCAAGCCUGAUGGAGCAACACCGCGUGAGUGAAGAAGGUUUUCGGAUCGUAAAGCUCUGUUGUAAGAGAAGAACGUGUGUGAGAGUGGAAAGUUCACACAGUGACGGUAACUUACCAGAAAGGGACGGCUAACUACGUGCUAG